CCUACGGGCGGCUGCAGUGGGGAAUCUUGCGCAAUGGACGAAAGUCUGACGCAGCGACGCCGCGUGGGUGAUGAAGGCCUUCGGGUUGUAAAGCCCUGUGGGGAGAGAAGAAUAAGUGCGGGCUAAUACCCCGCAUGAUGACGGUAUCUCCUUAGCAAGCACCGGCUAACUCUGUGCCAGCAGCCGCGGUAAGACAGAGGGGGCAAACGUGGUUCGGAAUUACUGGGCGGCAAGCGUGUAUGUCGGGUCUGAAAGCCCCGGGCUCAACCCGGGAAGUGCACUCGAGACUGUUAGGCUAGAGUACUGGAGAGGUUGGUGGAAUUCUCGGUGUAGAGGUGAAAUUCGUAGAUAUCGAGAGGAACACCGGUGGCGAAGGCGGCCAACUGGACAGAUACUGACGCUGAGACACGAAAGCGUGGGGAGCAAACAGGAUUAGAUACCCGGGUAGUC
rnacentral:rRNA from 1 species